AUGGAAAUAGAAAACCUUAGGUCCUAAAAUUAGUCAUACCAAGUCAAUUGCUCAUUGUGUGGUUAUGUGAUCACUUUCACAGUCUGAGAAAUUCACUUCUAAUUGUCCCUUUUUAAUUUUGGUAUCCUAAACACAUAAGAUUUAAUUAUUUUAUUAAUGAACUGUGACCUCCACACUGAUUUUUCAGUACCUCCAUAGGACACUUCUACUUAGGCUAAAGAUUUAAAUUCCUCUUUCCUUCUCUUAA